AUUGAACGCUGGCGGCAUGCCUUACACAUGCAAGUCGAACGGUAACAGGUCUUCGGAUGCUGACGAGUGGCGAACGGGUGAGUAAUACAUCGGAACGUGCCCAGUCGUGGGGGAUAACGAAGCGAAAGCUUUGCUAAUACCGCAUACGAUCUACGGAUGAAAGCGGGGGAUCGCAAGACCUCGCGCGAUUGGAGCGGCCGAUGGCAGAUUAGGUAGUUGGUGGGGUAAAGGCUUACCAAGCCUACGAUCUGUAGCUGGUCUGAGAGGACGACCAGCCACACUGGGACUGAGACACGGCCCAGACUCCUACGGGAGGCAGCAGUGGGGAAUUUUGGACAAUGGGCGCAAGCCUGAUCCAGCAAUGCCGCGUGCAGGAUGAAAGCCUUCGGGUUGUAAACUGCUUUUGUACGGAACGAAAAGCUCUGGGUUAAUACCCUGGGGUCAUGACGGUACCGUAAGAAUAAGCACCGGCUAACUACGUGCCAGCCGCCGCCGUAA
rnacentral:rRNA from 1 species